CGCGGGGUGGAGCAGUUCGGUAGCUCGUCGGGCUCAUAACCCGAAGGUCGCAGGUUCAAAUCCUGUCCCCGCAACCA
rnacentral:tRNA from 65 species